UACUUUUAAAGGUCGCCAUAUCGGUGUGUAAAUGUGGGUCUCACACCACAUGGAUUUGCAAACGAAAAUCAGCCCAUAUGACUGAAAGUAAAACAUAAGUUAGAAAGAAGACUCACCCGGCUUUCCCCAAAAAUUGGAGAAUCAGGAGCAAACGUUUAUGCUUACAAAUGUGCCAUGGAUCUCUGCCAAAAUGUCUCCCCGGGUCAUCCUCGGUUUCUCUGCGCUGUGACAAUGCCUGUCAAAUAGUGUCGGAAGAAUGUUAUUAUGAAGAUUGCACAAGACCAUCCACAGAACAGCUCUUUACUGUUCACAGGUCGAGCACUUCUUGUGGGCAUCGGGUUGCGUGUGAGAUUGACAAGGGGUCGGGGUUAUGGUCAGGUUGCCCCUGGGUCACGGGACGUCCAGGCAGAUCGUCAUUCUAGUACCAGCUGAGGAAGCGUUUAAAGUGCAAGAGGCAAAAGAAGGUGAGAAGGUCUACAGGAAGGUUUUCUCAUGAUCCUGUUUGACCCAGGGCGGCGCUUUCCGUGGCACAGCCAGCGUCAACUUUGAGAGGGAGGCAGGGUGGAUCCGGGCCCACAGGUGCUGCACAGAUGCCUCCAGAGCUCGGCGGGAUGGCGCGAGAAGCUCUGGGACGAGGAACCAAGCGCAGCAGACAGGGGGAGGCUCGUGGGCUCCGUCUUCUAAACGAAACCUCACAUCUGCUUCACCAUUCUCCUGCAGUAAUUACCACUCACACCCACUGUGCAGAUGACUUUCUCCACGCCGGUCACACCCCAGCACUUCUUCAACCAAGUGGAUUUGAACGGGAAUGGUUUAUGAAAACAAAUAAAUCUAAAACAUUUCUUUUUUUAAGUAGUGCCAAAUUGAACAAAAUCGAAAGCAUCUAUUGUUUUAAGGCAGUCGACCAACCAAUGACUGAUGUCCUUUUAUGUCGCUCUCGAGUUGACUAUAAUUACGGCGCCCCACACUAUCAGAUAUACAGAGAGCGAGAUAAAGCUCAGAAGCUGGUAAUGGAAAUCUGUUUGGAGAGGUGUGGAUUCUAAUAUCUAAUUUUGCCUAAUAAACUAUAACCGAUUUAAUCUCCACCUUAUCAGGCCAAGAUUUCAACACUUUCCUUUUUAAUUGGCUAUUUUGUAAUCCUGAUUCCCAGUGGAGCUGAUGGUCUGUCUCUCCCUCCAGAGGGCUUGCAUGAAAUCAGUUUGAAACGGUGUGUCAAUCUCAUUCAGAAGUGACCAUCUGGCCAGCAUACAGGAGUCGGGAUGGCAUGUCGGACCCCGGGGUCUUGGGGAGGCAAUCAGCACCGGCUUUACACAAUGUGUUAAUGCAAAUUUAUUAGAGAUUUCCUAUUGGUCGCUUUAAUCUGCUUUGUGUCGUCUUCAGACAUGAGCUAAGGACCUGGCGGAGGCCAGAACGCACAUGCGGCACAUGCACACAGUGUGUGAACACACAUACACAGAUCACAACAGGGCCGCGGGCAUGUCAGUACCCUUGCUUCCAGCGCGUGAGCUAAUUUCUUUGGGGAUGAAUAAAACAUUAAAAACAACAAUAAGCUUGAUCUGAAUAUUGGGCUCAGUGUUCACAUAUGCUUUUGCAAUAAAGCCGAUUCCCUUCCCGGCCCCCCCCAACUCGUCCCUGAAAUUCAUAUGUGUACAUUUCAUGUUGACCUAUUCUGUUUUAAAGCGUAUGAGUGUCUUAUAUUAUAAUACUGCGUUGAAGUCCAGUCUUGGGGUUAUUGAAUAAAAAGGAUAAAAAUAGAGAGAGGAUUGUUUGUUUGUACAGCAAAUAAAACAAUACAGCUUCAAAAUGGUUCGGAUGAAAACAAACCGACCAUAUUACACACUUUCAAGAUUAUUUAUCAUAAUAAUAACAGUUGGGCGGUCGUGCGAAAAAGCUGCACUUGUUGUGUUGUCUGUUUUUAUUAUGAUAACCGCACGCAAAAGUUUAAUUUGUUCAAUUUUCGCCGGGCUAUUGAGAUGGGAAUGUAAUACUAUCAGUCUCACUUCAUUUUGAAGUAAUUAAACAUAUGUGGAGGCCAGCGGUAUUCUUAAAGUUACAUUAUCAUAUCUGUGCAAGACAGGAAGAGGGAUUUGUGAAAGUAUGGGCACUGAACAGGACUUCUAUGCAAACCUAUGAUUUCAUUUUAACCUUGAAAUGUUCCUUAACAAAAGCGGAGAAGUGGGAGAUAAAGAAAUGGAGAAAAAUACAUUCCCAUUAUUUUUAAUUGGACAAGCACUUUCGCUUGACACUGUGGAGAGAGCCUUUAAAAGAUAAGUUAAGUGAGUUGUUCCACAGAGACGGAAAAAAAUAACUAUUUCUAAUUUAGUUCAAAAGGCUAGAGCUUUCGAGUUUUUUUUCUUUUUCUGGACAAUGGGACAGAGUCGCUGUAAACAAUUGACUUUCUUUGCAAAGGAGCUUGUUCAUUUGCGCCUUAGCGCGCUUGUGUGCAUCUUAUCUGGCGGGGAACCUUAACGCCGACCCUGAAAACAUUACGAGAAACAAACUGCGUGACAUUUAUCAGCACGAGUGACGUUUUAAAUGGCGUACAGUUACAAUCUGGUCAUCAUCGGUGAGUGACAUCUGAGCAAACGUGUUCGUUCUGUAUCGUGUGAGAAUAAUGGGAAAAGCCCUUGCAUUAUUGCCAACUCUUCCUGGAAGCUAUAGAGCUUGUCAUUAAUCCCAACUGUCUGUAAAAUUGAAGCAAUAAAAACCUGUACGCUGUACGUCAAAUAUCUCAGCAGUGAUGCUCAGGAAAAAAUAUAGAUCCGCAGACAAAUAAAGAGAUUUAUCCCUGAUUGUUUCAGUUAAGAUUCCUGGGCUCCCCACGUUCCCUUUGUUGUACAAGAGAGAGACAUUACACCCAUGGCAGCCCGUGACCUCAUUUGCCGAGAAGAAAUUUAAUUAACAAGGCAAACAUUGUCUGUGACAAUGCCUCUGCUGAGACUCCAGCAGAUAGCAGCUACUGCCCAAACCGGUAUUGUAACAGUAUGACGGUCGGCCUUAAAAUAAUACACAUCGACGCGCUAACUCACAAACACGGGCGCUAUUAAACUGCCGCUAUGCGCAGCGUGCUUUUUUCAAACGCCGGGGCCAAUAAGAAAAUAAACACGCCACUGUAAUUGCUCCAGACCCCUCGCAGCAGUCUGCCGUCCAGUCGCUCAUGAAAAAAAGAUGCGUGGAGUUUCGGCUGCGGAUGCCAGCUGAGCUGACAAUAUGCUCUUGGUACUCAGCCACGUGAAGAGAGGGUGGGACCCUUCGUCCUUUUGCAUCAUAAAGCCAUUCAAAUCUCUCUGUAGCCGCUCUAAAGUGUUUGAACAGAAAGGGAGGGCACAGAUUUGGCAGCACAUGGCGAAGAAAGUAGGCAUCAGACGGCUGUCAUUCAUGAGGAGUGUCUGUACCUCUCUGUGUAAAUGCUCUGGGGAUGCUUGCUAGUCAUUUAGCCCAGGGAGGCUGAUUACAGCGAUGUGUUGGCUGAGAUCAUUUGGACAGAAUGGGCACAAAAUAGAAAUCAGUGGGCAGUGGAUGCCUGGGCCUUGUUCGCUCCGUACUGCUGUGACACAAUAAACACCCCAAUCGUUUAGCUAUGAGUCUACGUGUCACCUUUACUAGAUAGCAUCUGAUGUCAUGCUGGUAGAUUUUAGUCAAGGAAGUCUACAAUACCCGAUGACAUUUGCCAUCAUUGCUCAUGUGUGCUCAGUUUGUUUUGAGGCUGAGCCAUUGAUGCAAAGUUGAGAGUCACAGAAAAUUGAUGUCAUAACAAUGCUGAAUGGCCAAUAGCACCAUACACGGUUAGAAAAAAAUUGUCAAAAUAUGUACCCUCGCUGUCACUGGGGUAGUAACUCAUAUAGUCACAUAAUUUUGUGAGUGUUUUCCGUGACACUGACACGUUUUCCCGCCUUUUUGCGUGAACAUGUCACGUAUUUCUGUUUAUGUGUCACUGUCACGUAUUUGUUACUCAACUGUUUUGUCCUAUUUUCAAACCAUUGAUACUUCGGUUUAGGGUUAGAUUUGGUGUUUGCGUUAGGAUAUCACUUUAAGUAUUGGUUUAUACUUUUUUCAUUAUUUAUUUUUUAUAAUUUUUGAUUUUUAAACCAUUGUCGCCUAGCAUUAGGGUUAGAGUUUGUUUGGGUAAGAAUGUAAGUUUAUGUAAAUCUAACUCUUAAUCGAAGCGACAAUGGUAAGAAAAUAGUACAAAACAGUUGAGUAACAAAUACGUGACAGUGACAUGUUCA